rnacentral:rRNA from 1 species
GACGAACGCUGGCGGCGUGCUUAACACAUGCAAGUCGAACGGUGAAGCGCCUUCCUUUUUGGUGGGUGCGGAUGAGUGGCGAACGGGUGAGUAACACGUGAGUAACCUGCCCCCUUCUUCUGGAUAACCGCAUGAAAGUGUGGCUAAUACGGGAUAUUCUGGGUCUGUCGCAUGAUGGGUCUGGGAAAGAUAUUGUUUCGGUGGGGGAUGGGCUCGCGGCCUAUCAGCUUGUUGGUGGGGUGAUGGCCUACCAAGGCGGUGACGGGUAGCCGGCCUGAGAGGGUGGACGGUCACACUGGGACUGAGACACGGCCCAGACUCCGACGGGAGGCAGCAGUGGGGAAUAUUGCACAGUGGGCGCAAGCCUGAUGCAGCGACGCCGCGUGGGGGAUGGAGGCCUUCGGGUUGUGAACCUCUUUCGCCAGUGAAGCAGGCCUGCCUCGUUUGUGGGUGGGUUGACGGUAGCUGGAUAAGAAGCGCCGGCUAACUACGUG